AUCAUACCCUAAAAGGCUAAAACCUCUCGAACCGCCCCAAACAGCCUAUCAGCGAGCGGCAUUUGAAAUUUUAUGGGUUCAAUCUUUAUCUGCAGGUGCUUUACGUGUAUUUAUUUUCUCUUCCAUAUAUGCUGGUCAUCAUUAUAGAUUUACACAAACCGCCCACUACAACCAAUUAACAGAGAGAGAAAAUAGAGUAAACAACACGUUUUCUUAUUUUCACGGUAUCCAACUUUUUCACAGAAGCGUGCAUAUGCUCUGUUGAAAUCCCAACUUGAACCGUUGAUAUUUGCAAAGCAUCCUCUCCGUCUCCAAGAUCUGAACCUAGCCUUCUAUUGCGCAUUAAAAGGAGCAAUUACAAAUGGCUGGCAGGAUUUCUUGAAGACAAAGUUGGAUAGGGAGAUGAAGGUGGCGGAAGGGGACUUCUCUGGGAUUUGGCAACGGUGAUUGGACAUGGAGCCUGCAUGGGAGAGAUUGGGGGUUUCAUCUAAUAGUGGAGGUUUCUUAAACAGAGGACAUCAGUUCAUAGUAAGGAGGAUCUGGGUGGGUUUGAUGAAGCUUGCUCUAUUUUUCUUCUCUUUGCUUUCUGGUCUAAGAGCAUCAUCUUUCGAAUUUUGCAUGCAACUUUUCUUGGCGUACUAUAAAUAGAGAUGAGUUGAUGGAGUUGUUUUGCAAAUGAUCACUCCCUCCUCCAACUAAUCCUAGCGUCUAAGAUUUUCCUCAGAAACAAUGGUAGGAAACAAUGACCGGAUCAGAGUAAUAAUUCUACUUGCAUCAGGGUGAGGCUUAACGAUAAAGGAUAAGGCCGCAACGGUUUGAGGCAAUAACCGUGUGAUAUGGGACUUUGGGACGCUACACUAUGCUGAAAGGAUGUAUCCGUUUUUACUUGCUUCUGAAAGUGACAUUGGCUAAAGAGGAGGAAGUGAUACAUGUUUUGGGUUAGAAGGAAGUUUUAUUAAAUGAAAUUACCAUUUUGUUUUGAGAUUAUGAUAUCUGAGUUCUGGUGCAAGGUGUUUAUGUAUUAUCAGUGAAUUGAAAAAUAACAUUAGGAUUCACUUAACUGAAGGGACUUUCUUUGAAUGAUUAUGGUUCUUGAUUCAACAAGAUUAUGGGUAUUAGGGAUAAUGCAUAAUGGUUAGUGGAAGUUAUAUAGAGAAGCUAGAGGAUUGAAUGAUUAUGGUUCUUGAUUCAGUAAGACAAUGAUUUAGGAACAUUAGUUUGGAACAUAAGCACAAAGCUGAAAGAAAAUGUAUUUUGCUAUUUGAAUUUUAACAUAAGAAUUUAUGUGUCAUGGUUUGUUUAAGUAAAUUUAUAUUCUUCUGUAGCUACCAGGGACCAUGGAAAAGUCCAAGUGCAGGAGUUAGGGAUUUCCUUUACUGUUUACUGUUUUUUAUCUAAUUAAGUUUUAAUGUUGGACUAGAGGACUUGAGGUAUAUUCAAGUUUGUAAUUUCUUUUCAUAAGAUAAUUUUUACCUUGAAUGUAAUAUGUCUCCAUGAACCUAAGGGGGCUUUUUGGAGAACACUUUCAUGCCAAAAUUGUUUUGUCUUUUCCUAUACAGUUCCAUAUAGAAUCAAACUUAAUUAAGAUGUAUGUGCUGCUAGAGUUCACUGCUAGAUAAUAGAUGAGUUUGAUGUGUUUCAUGUUAAUGGCCUUAUAGCUCUCAAUAUACGUUCCUUUGCAGUCCAAAUUAAAAAGGAGACUUGCACAUGUUGUUGCUAUCUGUUAAGUUUUCUUAGAAUCUCUAAUUGUUGAAAUCAGCACAUUUUCUCAUGCGUUGAGAGAGACUUUUAUAAAUCUAAUGCAUACCUUGAUGCCUUUUCCUUUGAUAUCUAAUGCUUGCUUUUAUAUUAUUCUUGGGUUUGGAUUUUGUACAUUAUAGAACAGAUAAUUUGGAACUAUUUUCUAUAUUUCUUAUGCAAAGUUAAUAUAGUGUUUGGUUACUAACUUACUAUUUAGUUGUUUUCACUUUUAUUUUAAACAGAACAGGAUGGAGAACAUGUUUGGCUUUCUUGACUAUUUUAUUUACUUUUAUAAUAUGGUCAAGUUUGAUUGUAACAAGCAAUAGUUUUAUUAUUUUUCAAAUUUAUGAAGUU